AAUCAUUUCAGGGAUUAUAUUAAAAACAAGCUGAGAGUUGUCUGAAUUGUGAUUUUUAAAAAAGGAUAAAUACUGCACUCAUUUUUGCUUGUCAAAAUAGCUUUGGAAAACCCCUC
rnacentral:lncRNA from 1 species